GGUCCGAUGGUGUAGUUGGUUAUCACAUCUGCUUCACAUGAAAUUCCUCUCUAGGAUAACUACUUGUGUAACGCAGGCGGUCCUCGGUUCGAUCCCGGGUUGGAUCA